UACGUAGGGGGCAAGCGUUGUCCGGAUUUAUUGGGCGUAAAGAGCGUGUAGGCGGUCAGGUAGGUCCGUUGUGAAAACUCGAGGCUCAACCUCGAGACGCCGAUGGAAACCACUUGGCUAGAGUCCGGAAGAGGAGAGUGGAAUUCCCGGUGUAGCGGUGAAAUGCGCAGAUAUCGGGAGGAACACCAAUGGCGAAGGCAGCUCGCUGGGACGGUACUGACGCUGAGACGCGAAAGCGUGGGGAGCAAACAGG
rnacentral:rRNA from 1 species